rnacentral:rRNA from 1 species
CGAAGGUGGCAAGCGUUACUCGGAAUUACUAGGCGUAAAGGGCAGGUAGGUGGUUUGAUAAGUCUGUUGUGAAAGCUCCCGGCUUAACUGGGAGAGGUCAACAGAAACUAUCAGGCUUGAGUAUAGGAGAGGGUACUGGAAUUCCCGGUGUAGCGGUGAAAUGCGCAGAGAUCGGGAGGAACACCAAUGGCGAAAGCAGGUACCUGGACUAUUACUGACACUCAGCUGCGAAAGCUAGGGGAGCAAACAGGAUUAGAUACCCUGGUAGUCCUAGCCGUAAACGAUGCACAUUAGGCGUGAGGGGUAUCGACCCCCUUCGUGCCGACGCAAACGCAUUAAAUGUGCCGCCUGGGGAGUACGGCCGCAAGGUUG